rnacentral:lncRNA from 1 species
AAAUAUCGACCUCUCUAGCUUUCAAUUACAACUUAACAUUAGAAAUUGGCUUUAGUCACCACAUCUUUUCUGUCACUAAUCCUUUGUUUUUCGGUAGUUCCGUCAUUCAUCCUUUCAAAACUUGCUCCGACUUCGAAUUUCUUACAUAUAUCAAUGGGAAAUAGUGAAGCAAAACAGCAAGAACGUCGCAUGCAUUACGAAUUUCCGGCCUCUCAUCCUCCAAACACUUCACUUCCGAGCCAUGAUCAUACUCGCUAUACGAAUAGUAGCCAGGUCAAACUAACUAAUGCGUCUGGAGCUGAAGCUGGGCAGAUUGGAACGGCACAAGUGCACAAGGAAGAGAUGAAUUUGGAAGACAAUGAUGCAUUUUCUGACUACAUUAACCGCACGAAAUUUAAGAUCAGAGCUACGACCUCCAAUAUUGAUCCCGAGAAUGUUGCAUCCACAGCAGAUGGUGUUUAUGAAACAGAGCAAGAAGAUAAUGAGUAUGAAAUGUUUACGGAUUUUGUCAACCACUCUAAGUUUAAGAUUAGAAAGACAUCCAGCAUCGGAAGUAGAAACAACAUCUCCUUUAAGAAGUAGGAGACUGAAAUUCUGCAACCAUAUGUGUUCUGGUGAUUGCCGGCAUAUUUAUGGAUUGUGUUCUCCCUCUUUAAUUCUUUUAUCAUAUUUACGUCCUGGAUACACAGGUUAUGUAAUGUUGUUGAAUAGUCCUCUAUGUAUUUCUCAGUCAAUGAUAUCGAAUCAUUCUUUUUCAUGUGUUUCUAGAGCCCAUUUGCUAAAAGUGUGACUUAUAUGCAUUGCAGCAAGCUUCCUUGACAAUUGGAAUCUGUUUCUUUACCUCUUCGAAAGGCGAUAGUUUAAAAGGCGAGACUCCUUUGCAUAGCUAGCUAAGCAAAGAUAGAUGUUUGGAAAAAGCUCAACCAUGAAGUGCUUCUGCAUCUCAAUUUUUGUACGCGCUAAUUGGACCGAGAUAAAACAAAACAAAUCCAACCUAUGUUACAUAUGCAGGGUUUAUUCAAUUCAGGCAAUAAAACAUCUAAAUAAUAUUCUAGUUGGUACGCACUUGCUGGAUCCCACUUUUAUGAAAAAAUUAUGGGCUAAGAAGCUGGGAAUAUGAUUCCCAUACAUCACUUCAAUUGAAGAAAUUUCUCCCUUAUGAGCAAUUUUUUGCUAUUCAGCCAUAGUGGGUUUCCCUUCAUUUCUGUGUGUAUCUUUCAGUUUUCGACCAAGGAUCGCAAGGACAUGCUCUCGAGAUUUCUCUUUACCUCAUCUCUUAAACUUAGUACAAGCUUGCUAUCAAUUUAAUUUCUAACAUAAUAAUGGGAAAGAGUUAUAGCAUAGCAGAUGCUGGAGCACCGCAGCAUUUGUUGGUUGGUUGGAUAGUACAGAGACCUUGACAAUGCUUUGUGGUUGGUUUGCAGAUUUUCAUGGCAGAUGCUGGAGCACCGCAGCCGACACCGUGAAUUGGUCAAUGACAGACUAGUUUCUUUAGGGCAGUUGUAUCGUUAUACUGUGGGUUCACUUUUGAAACUUUGACUUUGAACUAGUAAAUGUCAGAUUUUCGGUAGGCUGGUUAACCGUAGGGUUUCUGAAUUCGUGUUGUUCUUAAUUAAUGGAUAUGCUCUUAUUAGUAGCUUGGCACAUUGUGUUCAUGUUGAUGCAUUCAGGAGGAGCCGUUACAGCACAUAGCAACUAGCAUGGAAGAAAAAGUACAAAAAUGAAUGCGACUGGAAAAUGACAAUAAAAUAUGUUUUAUGUUGAAAUACGAUGACUUUUAGCAAUUUUUGUUAAAAUGCGAAUUUUUACCACUUAUUGAGUCUAUAUAGCAUUUUUUUUAAUACAAAAUUUUAAAGUUGAAGGAUAAAAGAAUCGAUACGAAAAUUCUAGCAAGUCAUAAAACAUCUUUGCAAAAUGUGGAGAAUGAUUACCUUUCUACACAGCAUAUAGUGAGUGAGGAACGUACAAGAGAAAUGCAAGAGGAGAAGGUAGCUCACAUUCCUCGUAAUGUCUUGAAUGAAUUUUAAAAAGUUUAGUGACACAAAAAUACCACAAAAAUUACAAAAUAAGUUUAGUUUUCCUAAUUAAAUCACAAUAUGGUGUAUGCAGAACUUCGCUAAACUGAUUAAAAACACUCACUGAUUUUGAGAAAAAUUUAAUAAACCAUGAGAUUAAUGAAAUAACCUAGAAGUUUUUUUUUAUCGAAUAGACUUUCUAUCAUCUUGAACUUCUCCACAAAAAGACUGCUGUCGUAGAAUUUCGCAAAAUUGAUUAAAAACGGGAAUUAUUUUUUACAGAUUUUUUGUGCAAAUAUUUCUUACAAAUUUUGUGAAAGGUACAGAAGGACAUUAUAGUUUUGGCAGCUUUUCAAGGAAAUGUUUUUAGUAAAAUCAAGUUGGAUUGCUUAUUUUCCUUGUGUUAUUUGGUAGAUGAAUGCAUUAAAUAGGUUGGUUGUUUCCCACCAGAAAUCCAUGAUGCUUGUUUUAGACUUUGAACUAUAAAAACAAUGGAUUAAAGGGAAAUUUUAUUUGAACCAUGUAACCUCUUUUUACACCCAACUUAAAUUUAAAUUAUUAAUUGUCUAUUUUACCCUUUUGCAUAAUUACUAUUAAGUACAAAAUGAAAUUAAUAAUAAAACUCAAAUUUAUCAAUAAACCCAUUAAACCCUUCCAUCAGUUCUUGUUUAUCAUACGUUCAUUCUAGCUAAAACCCUAAUAGGUCUUGUAGAGAAAAACAAGUUUUUUUUUAUUGAUGGAUGGUGAUUUUGUAGUUUUGAAUCCUCCAACUAAGGUAUGACUCAAUUUAUGAAUAUUUUGUUUGUUUGAUUUCAAUUUUUUUAAAGUUUAGAAGAUGAGUAUUUGGGUUUCAAUUUUUUCAUCAAUCCCGAAUGGUUUGUUAAACUUUUUGCAAUUGGAAAAUUCUAAGAAAAACUUCUUACUAAUGUUCUUAGAUUAUAAACUUCCUUACUUGUUGAUAAAUAGAAGGGGAUGAAUUGUUUGAUUUGUUGCUUAUGCACAUUAGUAGAAAGAAAAAAGGCAAAUAUCUGGCUUUGGUAGCAGAAAGAAAAAAAAAAAGUAGUCAUGGAAAUGCUAGUGGGAAGAGGGGGUGGGGCAAGGACACCUUUUUAAAAAUAAAAAAUAAAAACAAUUCAAUUACAGAUGUUAUUUUAUAAAGGAAAUGGGUGUAAAGAUAACUUAACAUUUUGAAUUGGGUUUGAUAGGGUAGUUUAGGUAAUAAAUUUGGGUUUAAAGAGAGAUUAAUUCUUCAAUAAAAAACAAUAUGGGUGAAGAGAGUAAAUUGGGUGUGGAAAGAGGUUACAUGGGUUCAAAUAAAAUUUCCCUUAUUAUAUUAGCAUAUUCAUAAUUAUUUUUAAAGGUCGCCAAUUUGGAAGAGCUAGGGUUUCUGUAUGUGCCAAAGUUUCAUUCUUACCAUACUAUAUUCUCUAUGCUUUUUACCUAAACUUUUCGUUGCUUUUGGAAGCUAAUUAAUUAAUUAUGCUUUGAUAUAAUGUUAAUAUAUAGCAUAAUCCCUUCAAAUGCUAGUUGUUUAGUGCUGUGUAUAUAAGUUGUGUUUAAAGCAGGAUUUUAAUUUCAAAACCAAGGACAAUUGGAGCUGAAAUAUCGUGAGAAUAUUUUCCAAACAUCUCAUCCUUUAGAAAGAAAAAAAAUAAUGAGAAAGAAGUUCUUCCUUCAUUAGGAAUCUAAACCAAACUUCUCCCUUUAUUUAUGCAGAAAAAUCAAUUACUAAUUUCCACACAAGGAAUUUUCUCCUUAAAUUCUCAUUCAUGCAGACUAUAAAUAUCGACCACUCUAGCUUCAAUUACAACUUAACCUUAGAAAUUGUCUCUAGUCACCUAUUGGAAGCAACUUUGUGUCAAUCACAACUUUGUGUCAAUCAACUUUGUGUCAAUCACAACUUUGUGUCAAUCAACUUUGCGUCAACUUUGUGUCAAUCAACUUUGUGUCAACUCCUUAAUUCAAGGAGCUUGUCUUCCCUAAACCAUUUGGUCGGUUGUCUUCCCUAAGCCACCUUUGUGGUGUAAAUCAAGGGGUCAAUCUCCUUAUAUAUUGUUGUACAAUUGUAAUGAUAUUAUGAUGAAAAUACAAAACAUACUUUGAAAAUCAACAUGGUAUCAGAGCAGGAAAUCUAACCUGCCUCUGCUCUACUACUAUCUGAGGGUGUUCAAUCUUCAAAAUGACUGAAGACAAUUCGUUAGGAUCAGAAGUUGAAAGUUCACAUGUGAUUUCCUCCAUGACUGUGCAUGAGGUGGAUGUCAACCCAAAUCAAAGAUUAAGCUUAGUUGUGUUGAAUGAGUUUAAUUACUUGCCUUGGUCGAGAGCAGUGUCUCUGGCUCUAGGUGGAAGAUCCAAGUUAGUGUUCAUAAAUGGAAGCAUCAAAGUACCUGAUGCUUCCUCACCAACCUAUGAAUCCUGGCUUAGCAAGGAUCAUCUAGUUAUGUCAUGGCUCUUGAAUUCCAUGGAACGGAAAUUAGCUUAAAUAUUUAGUUACUCUGAAUCUUCAUACCAGCUAUGGGAGGCGGUCAAGGAAAUGUAUGGCAGCCAGAACAAUGUUGCAAGGGUUUUCCAAUUAAAGAAGGACAUCUCCGAUCUGCAACAAAACGGCAAGCUGUUUGUGCAACUCCUAGGAAGCAUGAAAAGCAUGUGGAAUGAGUUGGAAAUUUAUCGCCCUCAUACAACCGACGCAGCACUGCUACGAAAGAGAGCAGAAGAAGACAAGAUAUUUCAACUCUUAUCCAGUCUCGAUUCAACGUAUGAAGAUCUACAAUGUCACAUACUCAUGAACAAUGAACUUCCUUCCUUCACCAGUGUAUGUGCAACAAUCCAACGUGAAAAAGUAAGGAGGAAAGUUAAAAUCAUGGGUAUAAUGGCCAGUGUACCUGAGGCUAGGGCCUAUUUAACCAACAAGAGAAAGUACAAAGGAAAGCAUCUAAACUUGAAGUGUCAACACUGCAACAAUAUAGGUCAUGUUAAAGACACAUGCUGGAUUUUACACCCAGAAUUAAAGCCUGACUUCAUGAAGGACAACAAGGGUUUACAAAGGGUGAAUCGUACUACACCGCGCAAAUCAUGCGUCUGCCUCUAACUCUGAUAAAUUCAAGAACUUCACAGCGAAUCCAGCUGAACUCAUGAAUGAGUUUAUGUUUUACCUUUAAGGCAAGAAAGGAGGGGCUGGAAUUGACCGUGCAGACAACAUAGCAGAAGGGAACACGACGGCAUUGCUUGGCAAGUUUGCGGGUUUCUUGGCAGACACGAAACCCGUACCCCAAGAGAACAUGCAAGGUAUCAUGAAAGCCUUUAAAACUACUCUUAAAAUAAAUUUGUUGCAUGAUUUUUGGGUUUUAGAUUCGGGUGCCACAAAUCAUAUGACUAACCAUGUGUCUAAGUCUCAAAAGUUUGAAAAAUUCACUAAUCCUUCCCAAGUUUCAAUUGCAAAUGGUGAGAGUGUAAAGGUUUUAGGAAAGGAAAAAAUAAAAAUAAUGUCAGAUGAAAUUGAAUCAAUGGCUUUGUAUGUACCUUCCUUCCCAUUUCAACUUCUAUCUGUGGGAAAGAUUACAAAUACCUUGAAUUGCUUAGCUAUAUUUUCUCCUCACAAUGUCAUCUUUCAGGACUGUGCCACCAAGAAGACGAUUGGUGAAGGGUUUUAUUUAGAAGGUCUCUAUUACAUAUCAAAAGCAAUCCCAGAGGGUUCCAAGCCAAGUUCAAUCCCAUUCAAGAUAAUCAAUUGUGGCAUCAACGUUUAGCUCACCCUUCUCCACCCAUUUUGUCAACUUUAUUUCCAAACUUAGGGAAUGAUGCUAUUUCAUGUGAAACAUGCCACUUGUCUAAGGCCACUAGAUUAUCUUUUAACUCUUCCUUGUCCAGGGCUAGUAAGUGUUUUGAACUAGUUCAUUCAAAUGUAUGGGGACCAACUAGUGAAUCUUUUGAUGGUUAUAAGUAUUUUGUGAUCUUUGUUGAUGAUUUCUCUCGAGUCACAUGGUUGUAUCUUCUAAAGUCUAAGAAUGAAGUUAUGGAAGUAUUUAAGGACUUUCAUAACCUUGUUAAAAACCAUUUCUCCUCUCAAAUUCAAACAUUAAGGUCUGACAAUGGCACCAAAUAUAUGUCCCAUAUCAUGAAACAAUAUUUAAGCACUCAUGGCAUCAUGCAUCAAACAAGUUGUGUUGGCACACCUCAACCAAAUGGUGUAGCCGAACGCAAAAACCGUGACUUACUUGAAAAAACAAGAGCACUAAUGCUACAAAUGAAUAUACCAAAGAAAUUUUGGUCCCAAGGGGUUAUGGCAUUUGCUUAUAUCAUCAAUAGAUUACCCAGUCGAGUCUUGGAUUUCAAGUCUCCCCUAGAGGUCAUGAAAGGAAGUAAAAUUGAUCUCUUACACCUUCGAGUUUUUGGCUGCAUCUGUUUUGUGCAUAUUCAAUCUCAUCACCGAGAUAAAUUGGAUCCUAGAGUUGUUAAAUAUAAUUUUCUUGGUUAUUCAUCUACACAAAAGGGAUAUAAGUGUUAUAAUCCUCAACUAAGAAGAUUGAUUGUGUCCAAAGAUGUUCGAUUCCAUGAAACUAAUCCUUUUUUCAGCAAGUCACAUGAAAUCACAAGUCAAGCGGAUGACAUCUUGGAUAUGUUCUCACUACCAAGAAUCGAACUUGAGGCUCCUCAACAACAAGAUCCCAGUCAUGUCAACAUUGAUGCAUAUCUCAAUGAAAGUAGCAAUGAAGGGUCUCACUCUAAUGGUACACGGCAUGAAGAUGGUGAUAAUUAAGAUGACCCUCACAAUACGGUCCAAAAUGUGAACGAGUGUGAGACAACUCUUCCUGCUCCUCGACGCAAUCCAAUGCGUGUUAGGAAAACUCCCACAAGACUUCAAGACUUUGUCAUCUACAAACCCACACAUCCCAUCUCCCAAUAUGUGUCGUACAAGAGAGUGACACCAGCCCAUGCUGCAUUCCUAAACACCAUAUCAAGUUACAAGGAGCCUCAUAUUUUCCAUGAGGCCAACAACCAAGAGGUUUGGAAGGAAGCAAUGCAAGAAGAACUUAAAGCUCUAGAUCAACACAACACCUGGAGUAUCACCAAACUUCCCAUAGGCAAGAAAGUUGUGGGUUGCAAAUGGAUUUAUAAACUCAAAUUCAAGUCAGAUGGAUCAAUUGAAAGACAUAAAGCAAGAUUGGUAGCUCAGGGAUUCACUCAAACAUACGAGGUGGAUUACAAAGAAACGUUUGCACCUGUUGCCAAAAUGAACACCGUGAGAGUGCUAUUGUCCGUGGCAGUAAACAAAGGGUGGUCCAUGUACCAAAUGGAUGUGAAGAAUGCAUUCUUGCACGGAGAUCUCAAAGAAGAGGUCUAUAUGAAAUUGCCACCAGGGCAUCCUCAAAGCAAUGAACCGAAUUUGGUGUGCAAAUUGCACAAAUCCAUUUAUGGCCUGAAACAAUCUCCACGAGCAUUGUAUGCCAAACUAAGCUCAGUUCUCACUAGUGUUGGUUUCAUAAGCAGCAAUGCCGAUUCAUCACUAUUUGUUCGCACAUAAGCUGUGGGCAAAUUGGUUGUGCUGAUCUAUGUUGAUGAUCUGAUAAUUACGGGUGAUAAUGCUGACGAGAUCCUCAACCUCAAACAGUCCCUCAAACAAAGGUUUGCAAUUAAAGACCUUGGGAUAUUGAAGUACUUCCUUGGUAUAGAAGUGGUAACCUCGCACAAGGGGCUGUUUCUUAACCAAAGAAAGUAUGUCUUGGAUUUGCUCAAGGAAGCCAACAUGAGCGAUGCUAAACCGGCCAUUACUCCUCUCGACAGCAAGCAUAAACCUAGCUUGAAGGCCACGCCACUCACGGAUAUCAGCCAUUAUCAGCGAUUGGUGGGUAAGUUAAUCUACCUAACAAUCACUAGACCCGACAUCACAUAUUAUGUAAGUCUUGUGAGCCAAUUCAUGCACUCCCCGACUCUUGAGCAUUUGACCCUUGUUAAAAGGAUCUUACGCUACUUAAAAUGAUCGGUGGGUCGUGGAAUCCUUAUGUAGAAGAAUGACAACACACAAAUCAUGGGAUAUUGUGAUGUUGAUUGGGCGGGGAAUGCCAUCGAUCGCAAGUCCACAACUGGCUACUGUACUUUUGUCGGUGGAAACUUGGUCACAUGGAAAAGUAAAAAGCAAACUGUUAUAGCCAGGUUAAGUGCCGAAGCUGAGUAUCGUGCCAUGGCUUCAACUGCGUGUGAGUUGAUCUGGCUCAAGGGGCUUUUGUGCGAUUUAGGUGUUCCUACAACUCUUCCUAUGUCCUUAUUUUGUGACAAUCAGGCAGCCAUGCGUAUAGCAUCAAACCCAGUGUUUCAUGAGUGGACGAAACACAUUGAAGUUGACUGCCAUUACGUUCGAGAACAGGUGCAGUCGCAGGUGAUUCAGACACACUAUACAAGAAGCUUCGACCAACUGGCCGACAUCUUCACAAAGCCUUUGGCUUCUCAUCAGUUUCAGCGACUUCUGUCCAAGCUUGGAUCCAUAAACCUCCUGGAUCUAGCUUGAGGGGGCGUAUUGGAAGCAAUUUUGUGUCAAUCACAACUUUGUGUCAAUCAACUUUGUGUCAAUCAACCUUGUGUCAACUUUGUGUCAAUCAACUUUGUGUCAACUCCUUAAUUCAAGGAGCUUGUCUUCCCUAAACCAUUUGGUCGGUUGUCUUCCCUAAGCCACCUUUGUGGUGUAAAUCAAGAGGUCAAUCUCCUUAUAUAUUGUUGUACAAUUGUAAUGAUAUUAUGAUGAAAAUACAAAACAUACUUUGAAAAUCAAUAUCACCACAUCUUUUCCCUCACUAAUCUGUUGUUUUUCUGUGAACUCAUUUUCCAAAACUUGCUCCGUUUUCGAAUUUCUUACAAAUAUCAAUGGGAAAUAGUCAAGCAAAACAGCAAGAACGCCGCAAGCAUUACGAAUUUCCGGCCUCUCAUUCUCCAAACACUUCACUUCUGAGCCAUGAUCAUACUCGCUAUUCGAAUAGUAUCCAGGUCAAACUAACUAAUGUGUCUGGAGAUGAAGCUGUGCAGACUGGAACUGCACGAGUGCACAAGGGGGAGAUGAGAAUGGAAGGCAAUGAUGCAUUUUCUGACUACAUUAAUCGCACGAAAUUUAAG